rnacentral:lncRNA from 1 species
AACUGAUGUUUACUUUCUGAAAACUCUGUAUUAAACGUUGUUAAAUUCAUAAACGGUACUAAUGUUAAUGCACCAUUGGUAUAUACUGUCUCUCCAGUGAGGCUCGAGUGCAAACUAUUUGAUGUUAAAGAAUGGUUCAACCUAAAAAGAACCUAAAAUUUUGACAAUGCAAAGCUUUCUAGGUGGUUCAUAUGUGAGAAUGUCAGAUUUGUAACUACAGGCUCAUUCAUAUUAAUACGAUAAAGAUACUAGUAUAUCUAAAUCAUAAAUCAAUCAUUAUAAUAUUAACAAAGAUAGGAAAAAGGUGUCAUAUCGAAAUCUGAAUAAUUGUUUGUUUCAUGGACCUUAUUCAUUUUACCACGCACAGGGCCAAAAUAAAUAUUUCAAUUACUAAACAGUGGUGACAAUACCUCCCCCAAAAGAAAAACAAAAACAAAAAAAAAAACUUUUCUAUACAUUUAUUCCAUCAAAGUCAAAAUUUGUAAAAGUAAACCAUCAUAGGUCAAAGAACGGUUUCAACACAGAGCCUAGAUUUAUACCGAACAGCAAGCCCUAAAGGGCCCUAAAAUAACUAGUUCAAAAUGAUUUAAACGGGAAAACCAACGGUUUAAUCUAUAUAAAAAAAGAAACGACAACUACUAAACAUCAGAAUCCUUGGUAUGGAACCGUAUUCUAUAAAAUAAUAUAGAUCCAUACACUUAUAUUUAUGUUAGCCCGUUAUUACUUAACUGCUACGACAAUAACCCCUUCACUAAAUACCAAUCCUCCUAAUUUGGUAUGGAACCAUGCAUGUGCUAAAUUUUCAUACACUUAUACUUAAGCUAUUGUUUUAUAGUUCAUAUGUGUCAGUACAUGUAUUUACACACACUGUUUAAUAC